rnacentral:misc_RNA from 1 species
AAAUAAAAAUCGAUGUCGUUGUCACCGUGAUAACGCGUCGGAACUGAGUCGUCUUUCCUUCGGUUAAGUGACUUAAAAUUUUUACGCGAAUUCGAAACGUAUUUAACGUUUUAUGGUACGUUUGCGAUAUUCCAAUAUAUUAGGUGCGGUCAUUCUUAUGAUUCGCGUCUAUAAUUUUUCAUU